GGAUAUCUUACCUGUAUUUAUUAGACUUGAAAAUUGGUACUGUAGUAAUACAGUUCUUUAAGGUUGAACCAUAAUAACUAUGUUGUAACAAACAUAAAACGAAUCGUAUUUCGAUCCUUCGAGAUCGACGAUGAAUCGUUCAAGUUUCUGACCUAUCAAUUCAAGAAGGUAGUGUAUUGGACCACCUUGAUUGUAACGGGUACGGAGAAUUAGGGUUCGAUUCCGGAGAGGGGAGCCUGAGAAACGGCUACCACUUCCAAGGAAGGCAGCAGGCGCGCAAAUUACCCCCAAUCUCAAUACGAGGAGGUAGUGAAUAAAAAUAACAAUCCAGAGCUUUGUAAAAAAGUUUUGGAAUUGGAAUGAGAACAAUGUAAAUACCUUAACGAGGAACAAUUGGAGGGCAAGUCUGGUGCCAGCAGCCGCGGUAAUUCCAGCUCCAAUAGCGUAUGCUAAAGUUGUUGCAGUUAAAAAGCUCGUAGUCGAAUUUUUAAUUAUUUAUUUUUGUUUAAUUUGGAAU
rnacentral:rRNA from 1 species